CCUCAGUCAGUGUAAUUGUUGUUCAGUGUAAUUGUUGUAGUUGUUUACCAUAGUAACCAUACAUGCAUAUGCAAUUAGGCAUGUGCGUGGUCUCUUUUGGCGGUAGAAUUAUUAUCAGCUUAGAAUUACUGUUCAUGAACUCAUUAAUCAGAGGUGAAUGGUGGUGCGUGGGUGCAUGGUUGACCACUACUGCACCCUAUUUAUAACCCCUGUGACUUUUAAAUAUUUUUUUGCUUGUUUUUAACAUAUCAUCAAUCAUUUUCAUCUCAUUUGUGACUUCUGUAUAACAUAAAAUGAUAUUAUUCUGUGUAAAUUGAUUUUUGGCUAGUGCAUGAGGUGAAUUAAUCAUUAACCAUGACCCAUGAUCAGAAAGUUUUGAUAGUUUGGAUGGAUGAUAUGCCAUCAUGGCAGUUGAUCGAAGAAGCAGUUGGCCGCUAGCACAGCGCCGGAGUAGUUGGUGGUUGGGAGAGAGGUGUGUGCGUGCGCGGGUGUGCGGGUGCGUAUGUGUGUGUGUGUGUGUGUGUGUGUGUGUGUGUGUGUGUGUGUGUGUGGGGGGGGGGGGGGGUGAUAUAGUUACGAUGAUGCCUUUUUGCCCGGAGAUAAGCAUGAAAGCAUAGAUAAUGAUCCCGAGACCCGGCCGAGUGUAGGAUUUGAAUUCAAAAAGACCUUAGCCGACCGGCCCUGUCCUUAAUAUUAUUAUCAUCUAAGUGUUUGAGGUCUCACUAGCCAGUAUGCAUGUGAUCAGGUGGUGUCUCAUGCAUGCAUUGUGCUAUGUAAACAGUCUAUAAUAUGCAUCACUGUAUUAUGUCUAGACGACGUUGAAACUUGGUCAGAUGUGCAUUCUACAAUAGUAGACAAGCUAUUGUAGAAUUGUAUAGGUUUGUGUGAGCAGAGAGUAUAAGGGGCCUGCUGCCAAGUCUACAGCCGCUGAUGGCGCUAGGCCUGGCCUCCGCACCGGCUAGUGAGACCUGCCGCUGAUUAAUGGCUACGUGUUGUGUUGUUGUGGACGACGAGUGGGUUGAACAGGACUGGUUUCACGGUAGGAUUUUGUCAUGGAAACGAGGAAAUAGACAUUGAGACCAAUGUACUUUCAAGAUUAUUGCAUCAUAAAUGGGACCAGAUUGUCGACUUCUUGCCACACGCCAUGAUAUUGACGAAAUCGUCGUCGUCGUCGAAACGAGCAACCCCGGACCGACGGAAAAGUGCACGUCAUGAUGUUUGUUAGAUUUGUCAAGUCGUGUCCAAGAGAAGAAAGGAAUGCACGACGUCGGUGCUGUCGUGCAGUGGAUCGAUACCAAGCACUACUGAUGACGGUAGAGGAGCAGGAGGAAACCGGGGGUUCCACAGGAGUAGGUGGUAAUUGCAUCACAGAUCACGCAGGAUUCACCUGCGGUGUGCUUGAUAGUGAUACAGCUUGGUAUGAUCAAUAUUAAUAUGUACUAUUAUAACUAAGACCCAUGCAGUAUGUAUGGACGGUACUUCAAAAAAGUACCGUCACAUCGCCGGCUAUAUAGGCAGCUUGUACGUUCGCUGGGCUUUUGGUUUCCUGGGCAAGGACAUUCGUGUUGUGGUUCCAUGCUGUGCAGUCGGUCUGCAAGGUGCAUGAGGGCAUUCGAGUUUCCUCCACAAGUUUGGACCUGAGGAUGAAGCAGAAUUUGUUGGAUUCAUGGAAGCCAUGGAGGAGGAAGCCAUGGAGGUGUCCGUCCGAGCAGAUCAUGUCAAUCAAUGAUCAAUGAAUGUGUUGUGACAAUGACUAUAGCUGUUGUGAUGAUAUAGCCAAGUGAGAAAGACAAUGACAAUCACACACAAUGUUUAUCAAUAAUGUUCUUCUAUUUUUAUUUGUAAUAAAACUUCGAGUGAACAUUGUUAAUUCAAAA